rnacentral:rRNA from 1 species
CCUACGGGAGGCAGCAGUGAGGAAUAUUGGUCAAUGGACGAGAGUCUGAACCAGCCAAGUAGCGUGAAGGAUGACUGCCCUAUGGGUUGUAAACUUCUUUUAUAUGGGAAUAAAAUGUUCCACGUGUGGGAUUUUGUAUGUACCUUAUGAAUAAGGAUCGGCUAACUCCGUGCCAGCAGCCGCGGUAAUACGGAGGAUCCGAGCGUUAUCCGGAUUUAUUGGGUUUAAAGGGAGCGAAGGUGGAUUGUUAAGUCAGUUGUGAAAGUUUGGGGCUCAACCGUAAAAUUGCAGUUGAAACUGGCAGUCUUGAGUACAGUAGAGGUAGGCGGAAUGCGUGGUGUAGCGGUGAAAUGCUUAGAUAUCACGAAGAACUCCGAUUGCGAAGGCAGCUCGCUGGACUGCCACUGACACUGAGGCUCGAAAGUGUGGGUAUCAAACAGGAUUAGAUACCCGUGUAGUC